rnacentral:rRNA from 1 species
AACGAACGCUGGCGGCAUGCCUAAUACAUGCAAGUCGAACGAUCACUUCGGUGAUAGUGGCGCACGGGUGCGUAACGCGUGGGAAUCUGCCCUUGGGUUCGGAAUAACGUCGGGAAACUGACGCUAAUACCGGAUGAUGACGUAAGUCCAAAGAUUUAUCGCCCAGGGAUGAGCCCGCGUAGGAUUAGCUAGUUGGUGGGGUAAAGGCCUACCGAGGCGACGAUCCUUAGCUGGUCUGAGAGGAUGAUCAGCCACACUGGGACUGAGACACGGCCAAGACUCCUACGGGAGGCAGCAGUAGGGAAUAUUGGACAAUGGGGGCAACCCUGAUCCAGCAAUGCCGCGUGAGUGAUGAAGGCCUUAGGGUUGUAAAGCUCUUUUACCCGGGAUGAUAAUGACAGUACCGGGAGAAUAAGCCCCGGCUAACUCCGUGCCAGCCGCCGCCGUAA